AGGGGAUCGCAAGACCUUGCGCUAAUGGAGUGGCCGAUAUCUGAUUAGCUAGUUGGUGAGGUAAAGGCUCACCAAGGCGACGAUCAGUAGCUGGUCUGAGAGGACGACCAGCCACACUGGAACUGAGACACGGUCCAGACUCCUACGGGAGGCAGCAGUGGGGAAUUUUGGACAAUGGGGGCAACCCUGAUCCAGCCAUUCCGCGUGAGUGAAGAAGGCCUUCGGGUUGUAAAGCUCUUUCGUCAGGGACGAAAAGUUACUCACUAAUACUGGGUGAUGAUGACGGUACCUGCAUAAGAAGCACCGGCUAACUACGUGCCAGCAGCCGCGGUAAUACGUAGGGUGCGAGCGUUAAUCGGAAUUACUGGGCGUAAAGCGUGCGCAGGCGGUUUUGUAAGUCAGAUGUGAAAUCCCCGGGCUCAACCUGGGAACUGCGUUUGAAACUACA
rnacentral:rRNA from 1 species